GAAACGCGAUAGUUAAUGUGAAUUGCAGAAUUCAGUGAAUCAUCGAGUCUUUGAACGCACAUUGCGCCCAUAGGUAUUCCUUUGGGCAUGUCUGUUUGAGCGUCAUUACAACCCUCAGCUAACCGCUGGUUUUGAACCUGAACGGGUGGCACCGCGCCGGUUUUAAAGUUGUAAGCUCUGCUGGCCGCUCUGCCCAACCAGAACAUAGUAAGCACUACUUGUCCGGGUGAAGCUGAACGGUACGACCUGAACAAAACCUACCCACUCUCAAGGUUUGACCUCAGAUCAGACAAGGAUACCCGCUGAACUUAAGC
rnacentral:misc_RNA from 1 species